AGGUUACUGCUAUCGAGGUUCGACUAAGCCAUGCGAGUCGAAUGUAGCAAUACAUGGCGUACUGCUCAGUAACACGUGGACAACCUACCCUUGGGACGGGGAUAAACCCGGGAAACUGGGUAUAAUACCCGAUAGUUCUCGAAUGCUGGAAUGCAUCGAGUUCGAAAGCUCCGGUGCCCAAGGAUGGGUCUGCGGCCUAUCAGGUAGUAGUGGGUGUAGCGUACCUACUAGCCUACGACGGGUACGGGUUGUGAGAGCAAGAGCCCGGAGAUGGAUUCUGAGACACGAAUCCAGGCCCUACGGGGUGCAGCAGGCGCGAAAACUUUACAAUGCCGGCAACGGCGAUAAGGGAACCUCGAGUGCCAGGUUACAAAUCUGGCUGUCGUGAUGCCUAAAAAGCAUUGCAUAGCAAGGGCCGGGCAAGACCGGUGCCAGCCGCCGCGGUAACACCGGCGGCUCGAGUGGUAACCGUUAUUAUUGGGUCUAAAGGGUCUGUAGCCGGCCGGAUAAGUCUCUUGGGAAAUCUGGCAGCUUAACUGUCAGGCUUUCAGGAGAUACUGUCUGGCUCGAGGCCGGGAGAGGUGAGAGGUACUUCAGGGGUAGGGGUGAAAUCUUGUAAUCCUUGAAGGACCACCAGUGGCGAAGGCGUCUCACCAGAACGGACCUGACGGCAAGGGACGAAAGCUAGGGGCACGAACCGGAUUAGAUACCCGGGUAGUCCUAGCCGUAAACGAUACUCGCUAGGUGUCGGCCACGGUGCGGCCGUUGUCGGUGCCGUAGGGAAGCCGUGAAGCGAGCCACCUGGGAAGUACGGCCGCAAGGCUGAAACUUAAAGGAAU
rnacentral:rRNA from 1 species